rnacentral:lncRNA from 1 species
GUAGAGUGAUUGAAAUGUUAGAAUGCAACAUGAAUUCAUUGAAAAUACCACCAAAACCUGUUCUUUCGUCUCCUACUAGAUCAGUACCAAAAUCUCCAGCUUCAUGAAAUUUUUGGGGUAACUUUUCCACACUGCAUUAUGCAUACUACUCACUGAAACUAAGAAGGAAAAAAUGAGCUGGAAAAAAUGGGUAAGUUUUCCCAUUUUCCACACAAUUAAACUUAUUAGUUUCUCCACAAAACAUUUAUUUGUUCUUAUAAGGUUGUUAAUAUUUGUAAUUUGGAUUAGUUCUAAUUAGUACUAUUAAUUAUGUCAUAUUUUAUUUUGAGUUA